rnacentral:lncRNA from 1 species
GAAAAGAGAGAUAAAAGCCUCAUCUUCACAAGAUGAUCGCUCUGGAAAUCAAGUGGAAAGCUUGACGCCGGACGCAUAUCACCUCUGUACCACGUACAGAGCAGUGAGCACAGGCAGGUGCGACACACUGUGUGCGCAGAACUAUGAAGGGGUCCGCAGGGCCUCUGGUGGCAGAAGCUUGUUCCAGAGCACCCGGGCAUUACUGCUGCCCAGCACAGGCGAUGCGGGCUUCUAGGACUCCAAGAGACACGGGCACUGCUCUUAGUUUCGGCAUGUCCAGGAGACUGGACCCAAGCUGUCCUGGCCCUGCAGCUGGACUCAACCCGGGAAGACAAAUUGGGUUACGGCCCUUGCCCCUCAGCACCCUUCCUCCUCACAGCUUCCAUUGCUCUCCUCAGCACCCUAAACGGACACCGCAGGCCUGCCCACCACUCCAGCUUCAUCACCGUCACAUGCCACCUUCUCUGUCCUCCCCCUUGUCAGCCAUCCUUCCAUCCCUUGAAAUUGCCGUGUUCCCUUCGGCCACCAGACAUUUUUACCUGGCCAAUCUCCUCUUUCUGGAAUGUUCCUUUGAUGCUCUUUACUUAAUAAACAGCUAUGCAUCUUUCAAACAUGGUCACGGUACAUUUCUUAAGGAAAGUGUUUACAUUGAUUAGUGUUCUCUACAGGAACAGAAUCCAUAGAAAAUAUAUUGUCUUAGUCACUUUCCUUUCCUCACCACUGGGACAAAAUAUCCAACACCUACAACUAAAAGGAGGAGGGGUUUAUUUUGGCUCACUUUAGAAGUUUCAGUUCAA